rnacentral:rRNA from 1 species
UUAGUUACCAGCACGUUAUGGUGGGCACUCUAAGGAGACUGCCGGGUGACAAACCGGAGGAAGGUCGGGGAGUGACGUCAAGUCAUCAUGGCCCUUACGGCCUGGGCUACACACGUGCUACAAUGGUCGGUACAAAGGGUUGCCAAGCCGCGAGGUGGAGCUAAUCCCAUAAAACCGAUCGUAGUCCGGAUCGCAGUCUGCAACUCGACUGCGUGAAGUCGGAAUCGCUAGUAAUCGUGAAUCAGAAUGUCACGGUGAAUACGUUCCCGGGCCUU